rnacentral:rRNA from 1 species
UACGUAGGGGGCUAGCGUUGUCCGGAAUCAUUGGGCGUAAAGCGCGUGUAGGCGGUCCGGUAAGUCCGCUGUGAAAGUCGGGGGCUCAACCCUCGAAAGCCGGUGGAUACUGUCGGGCUCGAGUGCGGAAGAGGCGAGUGGAAUUCCUGGUGUAGCGGUGAAAUGCGCAGAUAUCAGGAGGAACACCGAUUGCGAAGGCAGCUCGCUGGGACGUUACUGACGCUGAGGCACGAAAGCCAGGGGAGCGAACGGG